UUGGUUGCUUGGUUUGGUAAAACUAAAAAGAUGAGUAGUGGUGGGGUGGUGGUGUUAGAGUUGCCACUGGGGGCAGCGGAGGAGGAGGAGGAGAGUUUUGAACUGGAGAAAGCAGUGUGUAGCCAUGGACUGUUCAUGAUGCCACCUAAUCAGUGGGACCCCGUUUCCAAGACACUUCUCCGCCCACUCCGUCUUGGCCUUGGAGAUUCAGAAUCAGUGAUGGUCCGUAUUUCUCAACACCAGUGGGCCCCUCGCUCACUCCAUGUCCGAGUUUACUGCCAUAACUCUCCCAAUCUCUCCCGACAACAUCGAGAAUCAGUGCUGGCUCAGGUGUCACGAAUGCUGCGUUUGUCUGAAGAUGAGGAGAGAGCUGUGAGAGAGUUCCGAAAUAUGUACGACAAUGAGAAGAAGAAGAAGGAGAGCAGCUUUGUGGGCAGGGUGUUUAGGUCUCCUACCUUGUUUGAAGACAUGGUCAAGUGCAUGCUCCUCUGCAACUGCCAGUGGUCCAGGACUUUAAGCAUGGCUAGAGCACUUUGUGAGCUUCAGUUGGAACUGCAGCCUCAAUCAUCCAGUCUGUUAUUUGUGGCUGAUUCUGCAGCUGCUGCUGCAAGCACCAACUUUAAUACCCCAAAACCCGAUAAGGACCACUUCAUUCCCAACACACCAAUACCACAAGAGUCCAAGGUUUCAACAAAUUUUACAAAUUCUGGGUCUAUCAAAGCAGACUGUGUUCCAGCUGAUAUUGUACGCGAUGAUGAUGAUGAUUAUUCAUGUCUAAACUGCAAAACUUGUCAGGCUGCGGAUGAACCACACAACAUUGCUUCUGACUAUGAUACCAUUGGAAAUUUUCCUAGCCCCACAGAAUUAGCAAACCUUGAUGAAGGCUUUCUGGCUUCAAGAUGCAAUCUUGGGUAUAGAGCAAGUCGCAUUUUGAAACUUGCUCGGGAUAUUGUUGAAGGCAGGAUUCAACUAACACAACUUGAGGAGGCCAGUAAAGGAGCAAGCUUUGCCAAAUCCAGCAACUACGAUAAGUUGGCUAAACAGUUGAAAGAAAUUGAUGGAUUUGGUACUUUUACAUGUGCCAAUGUGCUUAUGUGCAUGGGAUAUUACCAUGUCAUUCCAACAGAUUCUGAAACUAUUCGGCAUCUAAGAAAGGUCCAUGCGAGAAAUUCCACCGUUCAAACGGUACAAAGAGAUAUUGAAAGAGUAUAUGGGAAGUAUGCACCAUUUCAGUUCUUGGCAUACUGGUCAGAACUCUGGCACUUCUACGAAAAGACAUUUGGGAAGCUAAGCGAAAUGCCAUGCUCUGAUUAUAAACUAAUAACUGCCAGUAAUAUGGAAAGCACAAGUAGUACAAAAAAGAGGAAGAAAAAAUGCUGAGCAAAGUCAAGCCCAGCAUUAGCUUGGAUAACCAAAAAAUAUGCAAAAAGCCAAUUAACCUGCUAUGCACUAUCUUCCCCUCAAAGUUGUCAACAUUGAAGUAGCAGCCAUGGCAGCUUGCCAUACUAUGCCUAAGUGUAACCACCAGCUUGCCAUGUGUAGGCACCUGCAUGGCAUUAGAAAGCCAUGCCAUUGGUCAUGCACAAGCAAUUUACAUGAUCCUGUACUUUGGGUUUUUUACCACCUCGCUUCUUAAUGUUGUCUCCAGUUUUCUGUAAACUCAAGUUUCUGUUU